rnacentral:rRNA from 1 species
CAUAGCGACUAUCGUGGCAUAUCAAUAAGCGGAGGAAAAGAAACUAACAAGGAUUCCCCUAGUAACGGCGAGUGAAGCGGGAAGAGCUCAAAUUUGAAAUCUUAAAGGUUCUACCUUGACGAAUUGUAGUUUAUAGAAGUGUUUUCUGUAGUGGAGUUUCGGUAAAAGUUCUUUGGAAUAGGACAUCAUAGAGGGUGAGAAUCCCGUAUUUGAUCGUUACUUUCCAGCUGUGUGAUACACUUUCAAAGAGUCGGAUUGUUUGGGAAUGCAGUCCAAAAUGGGUGGUAAAUUUCAUCUAAAGCUAAAUAUUGGCGAGAGACCGAUAGCGAACAAGUACCGUGAGGGAAAGAUGAAAAGAACUUUGAAAAGAGAGUUAAACAGUACGUGAAAUUGUCAAAAGGGAAGCGUUUGACACCAGUGUUGUUUAGUUGAAAAUCAAUUCAAUAACUUUUGAUUUUGAGUAGUAUUGACUUCAUCAGCUUGCUGCUUUCUUUUCGGAAAUUAUUGAACGCACUUUUCAGUUAACAAGUCAACAUCAGUUUCUUUUGUUGUAAAAAGGUCAUUGGAAGGUGGCUUUCUUUUCGGAGAAAGUGUUUAUAGCCUUUGACUCCUGCAAUCGGAGAGACUGAGGUCUGCAGCGUAGAUCCUUUUUUGGAUUAGAUUCAUUUGUGCUAAGUUAUAGCUUUUUAUAGACAACAUGUUGACUAUAUUUAGUCUUGUAACUUACUCGCUUAUGUAAUUUUACCUACGCUUAGGAUGUUGAUAGUCACAGCGUGUAC